GAUGAACGCUAGCUACAGGCUUAACACAUGCAAGUCGAGGGGCAGCAUGAACUUAGCUUGCUAAGUUUGAUGGCGACCGGCGCACGGGUGAGUAACACGUAUCCAACCUGCCGAUGACUCGGGGAUAGCCUUUCGAAAGAAAGAUUAAUACCCGAUGGCAUAGUUCUUCCGCAUGGUAGAACUAUUAAAGAAUUUCGGUCAUCGAUGGGGAUGCGUUCCAUUAGGUUGUUGGCGGGGUAACGGCCCACCAAGCCUUCGAUGGAUGGGGGUUCUGAGAGGAAGGUCCCCCACAUUGGAACUGAGACACGGUCCAAACUCCUACGGGAGGCAGCAGUGAGGAAUAUUGGUCAAUGGACGAGAGUCUGAACCAGCCAAGUAGCGUGAAGGAUGACUGCCCUAUGGGUUGUAAACUU
rnacentral:rRNA from 1 species